rnacentral:lncRNA from 1 species
AUGACUGCUGAGAAGAAUUGGAAAGGGACUGGAAGCAAUGAUGGCUAAAGAAUCUCGAGAAGGAAGACAGACUAUACAUAUUUUUUCUAGGAAAUUAAAAGAUUGCCUGUUUUGUAGUAGAGAGAUGCUUCUCAGGACGUCGUGGGAUCACACUGUUCAGACUGAUUUCCAACAGGCACAGCGUGAAUUGUACAGUAACUUGUUAAGAGGUCACCUAGACGUUCUCUUAGGUUCCUUUCUCCUACAGAAGCUAAGGGGACCGUCUGUUAAAAACUCCAUGGAGCCAUAAAAUGGCAGAACAUUUUGUCCAGGAUUCCUCUGCAGUGAGAUGAUUCCCUCCACCUGAUCUGUAUGCCACCUGACCCUCACCUUGUAUCAUUCUGUGAGAAAAAAGGAACACCAAAGAUGAUUUGUUGGUUUUCCAGUGCAAGAGUGAUCCCUCCUUCGUUUUUACCAAAAAGAGGGCUAUUUAACUGGAUACCAGGAGAAGCAAAUUGCUGAUCCAGUCAUGGAUGUUUUACCCCAUUAUUUAGUUCCACUCUACAUGGAAUUUAUUUGGAAGAUUCUCAAUGCACUUGCAUUCAAACAUAAAGACCUAAUGACUCUCAUUGCAGCAGUAUUCCUCUUGUAUUGUUAUUUUCUUAACUUCGGAUUUCCUCCAUUUCUGCACUUUUUGCCAUCUGGAAUUUCAUUUGCAAGGGCAGAUAAGGGGAAAAGAAUGUAAUAAGAGACGAGGAAAAAUAUAAGCCCUUGCUGAAUGAUUGAUAUGAAUGAAGGAACUGAUGGAAUAAAUAACAAAAAUAAAAAGAUCCAGGACUACUCUCAGUCUCUGAAGCAGGUGGGAGCCCUGGCGGUAGCUAUGGGUCCAGUUCAAAGGAUUAUGAAAUGCACUGCUUUCACAUCAAAAAGGAAGAAGAAAGGCAAUACUUGCAACCAAUGAUAAAGAGGUAUUCUGACUUUCAUCUGCCUUUGUGUUAAGCGUGAGAGAGCCAGACAGAAUUGCAGCAGGAACCAGAAGGAGCAAAGAAAAAGAUUACUGUUUCUUUUAUAAAAUGGUUUUUAUCCUACUGGUGUCUCUUUAAAAAUAAAAAUCAACAAAUAAAUGUCCAUUUAAAUUGA